rnacentral:rRNA from 1 species
GAUGAACGCUAGCUACAGGCUUAACACAUGCAAGUCGAGGGAACGGCGCACGGGUGAGUAACACGUAUCCAACAUGCCCUUUACUCGGGGAUAGCCUUUCGAAAGAAAGAUUAAUACCCGAUAUAAAGGAUGGGGAUGCGUUCCAUUAGGUUGUUGGUGAGGUCACGGCACACCAAGCCUUCGAUGGAUAGGGGUUCUGAGAGGAAGGGCCCUCACAUGUGAACUGAGACACGGUCCAAACUCGUACCGGACGCAGCAGUUAAGAAUAUUGGUCAAUGGGCGCUAGCCUGAACCAACCAAUUAGCGUGAAGGAUGAAGGCUUAUGGGUCGUAAACUACUUUUAUAGAAGAAUAUGUAUUAUAUGAAUAAGGAGCGGCUAACUCCGUGCCAGCAGCCGCGGUAAUAC